UAUCAUUUAAGUCCAGAAUGUGAUGCUGCUACAUAUAAAGCAUGCAAAAUGAUGAAGAGUGCUCCAUUGCCCAUAAUUGGUACCUUCCAGAAGUUUAGUCGGUGGGUUGGUGAUCGUCUGCAUAAAA